rnacentral:lncRNA from 11 species
AGAUGACGGAGAAAUGCUUUGGUAAAACAAAGGUGUGAGACCACUGCAACAAAAGGUGAUGGUCCCUGCAAUCAAGCCUUGGGUUCUAAAAUAAAGACGUCCACAAAUCAAUGUUAUAACCCGCCUUGGGCCAUGAGGAGAGGCAGGUUGUAGGAGGAGCUGCAGACCACAUGAUCAGAUCUGGAACUACUCUGAGCUGAGACUCCAUUUUAGAACACAAAUGCUUUAGCCAUGAGAUGCUUUAGACUUCAUUAGAGCAUAAGAAAAAAAGAGAUGCCUUUAGAUUUCAGAAUGCUUGGAACGCAGGCUCCAUGA